rnacentral:lncRNA from 1 species
GUCAUUUACAGGGCUUGACAAUCACUGGUCAUUUACAGGGCUUGACAAUCACUGGUCAUUUACAGGGCUUGACAAUCACUGGUCAUUUACAGGGCUUGACAAUCACUGGUCAUUUACAGGGCUUGACAAUCACUAGUCAUUUACAGGGCUUGACAAUCACUGGUCAUUUACAGGGCUUGACAAUCACUGGUCAUUUACAGGGCUUGACAAUCACUGGUCAUUUACAGGGCUUGACAAUCACUAGUCAUUUACAGGGCUUGACAAUCACUGGUCAUUUACAGGGCUUGACAAUCACUGGUCAUUUACAGGGCUUGACAAUCACUGGUCAUUUACAGGGCUUGACAAUCACUGGUCAUUUACAGGGCUUGACAAUCACUGGUCAUUUACAGGGCUUGACAAUCACUAGUCAUUUACAGGGCUUGACAAUCACUGGUCAUUUACAGGGCUUGACAAUCACUGGUCAUUUACAGGGCUUGACAAUCACUGGUCAUUUACAGGGCUUGACAAUCACUGGUCAUUUACAGGGCUUGACAAUCACUGGUCAUUUACAGGGCCUGACAAUCACUGGUCAUUUACAGGGCUUGACAAUCACUGGUCAUUUACAGGGCUUGACAAUCACUGGUCAUAUACAGGGCUUGACAAUCACUGGUCAUUUACAGGGCUUGACAAUCACUGGUCAUUUACAGGGCUUGACAAUCACUGGUCAUUUACAGGGCCUGACAAUCACUGGUCAUUUACAGGGCUUGACAAUCACUGGUCAUUUACAGGGCUUGACAAUCACUGGUCAUUUACAGGGCCUGACAAUCACUGGUCAUUUACAGGGCUUGACAAUCACUGGUCAUUUACAGGGCUUGACAAUCACUAGUCAUUUACAGGGCUUGACAAUCACUGGUCAUUUACAGGGCUUGACAAUCACUGGUCAUUUACAGGGCUUGACAAUCACUGGUCAUUUACAGAGCCUGACAAUCACUGGUCAUUUACAGGGCUUGACAAUCACUGGUCAUUUACAGGGCUUGACAAUCACUGGUCAUUUACAGGGCUUGACAAUCACUUGUUCAGACAGCAGGACAGAUAUGAUGCUAUAUAUUUUACAGACAGAAUUGUAUGUUGCACUCUGUCUAUUGGCUUCUUUUCAUAUUCAAACCUGUCUGAAAAUACAACACUGCCCCUUUAUAAGGCUCUGCUGGUGUAUGGUUGGCCACCUGUUGGUAGCCUAUAAAAUAUUGCAACAAUACAAUUACAAACAAAUACUUUUUAUACCUUUUUUCAAAAAUAAUUCCCUAGCAUCGGCUGCUGUCUUUGCUCCCCCCCCUCCCGAGCAGUAGUUUACAGAAGUGUGGAGAGAAGCGGACUUGAAACCGUUAACAGAACACACAUCUUACAGCAAAACAAACCUUGUCAGUCUCUCAGGACCUAAACAACCAGUCCACCAGUAGGCAGUCCCUCAGCAGCUGGGGUUGCUGUGAUACCUUGUACAUAGACUGCUUACAGGGUAAGGAGACCUAUGUCAUUUGGGUGAACUAUCCCUUUAACAUUUCGAUUUUUUAAACCUAAACCUUAACCCUAAC